GGCCUCAACUCAGCAAUAAAAGGCAAUCACAGAAGAAUUAAAACAAACAAAAUAAAAUAAUCAGCAGCCCCCAGCUUUCCUGCACGAAAAUCCUUUCAAACGAUCCCGAGCCACAUUUCGAGAGGAUCUGCUCGCCAGGACCACGCGUUUCAGAUUUAUUGUCCGCCAACAGUGUAUUUUUAAGACCAGAAAAGCAGUCUCCUCUCGUCUGGGUGACCCGGAUUUGAAAUGACAUUGGAAGAAAGAAUAUACGGAACGCGUGGCAAAAUAAAAGUGUCUUUGGAAUUACUUUAGCCAACCUUGGAAAACUUAGUAAAACCCGUCGGUUAAAUGAAAAUAAACGCUUUUUAUCACAAAUCUCCAUUCAUAAAAACAAAUGGACAAAAUCCAAGUUCUCAGCUCAACAAUGGAAAGUUAAGCAAAUUUUUCAAGAAUGUACAAGUGCAUUUUUACAUUUCUCAAGUGCAGUUUCAUCCAUGGAGAUCCGGCACUGUUUCAUACAGUUGACGUCAAGAAGCAUGAAAUAAUUUCUUGACCACCUACAAUUUCUUCUCCCAAGGCUUCUUACUUAAGGAAUAAACCUUAUAAUGAAGCAUAACAUUUAGGCAAGAGAAACUAGAUCAGAAAGCCAUGGAAUUAAAGGAAUGAAUUGGAUGGAACUGCAUCCCCAGCUGAAUAUUCACUCCCUGUGCCUUCUCCUCACCUUCCAGUCCUACUGCAAGCCUUUGGGCCUUCUAGCCUUUUUUAGGAGCCAUUAUAAGUGCUAAGGAUGGGCCAUGAGUGGAAGAGAGCAUUGCACCAUUAUACUACAACACAUCUGAUUGGCCAAGGAACUCAAGGUCUCACACAGUAAAAGAAAAACGCUGUCGUAUGUAUUACUACCAUGGAGUCCUAAAUAAUAAACAACUCCUAAUAUGUAGAUGAUUCAGAUUCUUAACAGUCAUUUACAUUGCUUUCACAAAUCCUCUGUGAUUGCUUUGCACCAUGGUUAAUCUCUACUUCCCAACCCCUCC